GGGGAUGUAGCUCAGUGGUAGAGCACAUGGGAGGUUCUUGGUUCAAUGCCCAGGAUCCCUA
rnacentral:tRNA from 1 species